CCUGGCGAGGCGGCGGUACUGGGCUGAGGGAAUACCAUGGCCGUCCCUCUUUCCCCCACGCUGGUGCUGGGCGAGGCCUCGGAGAGCGACUCAGAGCCGGAGCCGGGGGGGAACACAGCCGGGACUCCCGCAGUGGGGCUGAAGGUUCCGGGGGAGGCGUCGGAGACCGAGGAGGAGGAGGAAGAGGACAGUGCGGCCCGGAUGCCGCUGCCAGGGGUGUCCAGGGGGGGCCCCUCACUGCUGCAGCAGCGGCUGGGGGCGGGCGAGGGGCGACUGCGGGGCGCAAUGGCUGAGGCACUGGGACGCAGUUUCAGUGGGGCUGCGCGGCUGCUGGAAGGUCUGGGGGGGCCCCUGGGCCACGCCCAAGCUGGGGCAGCUGCGACCGCGCACUGCCUGUGCCUGGUGCGCCGUGACCUGCGCGCUGUGGCUGCCACCGUAGCCACCAUCACCGCCUGUCACCUGCUGCCUGACAUCCGUGGGGAGCUGUGAGAGUGGGAAUGUCUGUGGGGGGGGGGGGGGCAGUGCUGGCAGCUGUGGGGAGCUCCUGGCGUUGUUGUUGCAGUGUCACUGACACUGACCUUCAGCACUGUGUCCAAUGGACUCGAGAGUUGUGGUUGUCACUGAUGACAUUCUCAUUGUCACUGCAUUGCCAGUGCUGUGUCCCCUUGAGCUGAUGCUGCCAUCAACAGCACUGCCGCUGAUCGCUCAGUGUCCCAGCGAUGUCCCUGUGUCACCUGGCCUGUGGGGACCUUGGCCUCACAGUGACGUUGUCAGUGAAUGGAAGCUCCUGACGAUUGAUUGAUGCAGAAUUCUGUAGUUUUGCCCUGUAUAGGGGAUCUGUGGGUUCUGGCACUGACUAAAGCCCUUUGGAGACAUAGCUGCAGCAAGGACACAGCUUUCACUAGGUGGGUGGCAGUGUGUUCACCCACGGCACUGUGGUCCCAGUGGUCUGAGCAAGGUCCCUUUUGUUGCCCCCCAUGUCCUUGGGCUGUGGUUGUGUCCUGUGCGUCCCUUCCUGCCAUAUGAAUGUCUCCAGCAUCUGGCCACUGUCCCCAAGCUGUGGCUAUGUCCUGUCACCCUAAGUGCCCCUUGGCCUUGUCCUUAGCUCUCUCCUACCUCUGUGUACCCCUCUGAGAACUUCAGCCAGGGACAGGGAGAAGUACAUACGAAUCUCACACCACGGAGCCACAUGGGUCUGUCACGCUGCAUCCUGCCUGGGCUGUCACGUCCUGUGGGACACCAGGGGAUACACCCUGGGUGCUAGUGGGCUUGUGGCACCAAAAUGCCCGGGGCCUGAUGAGGGUCCUGGGGGCUCCUGGCGUCUCCAGAAGGGUCCCAACUGUCCCCAGGGACUGACCUGAGGGGUAGUGGAAAACCAGGAUGAAGGUUCACUUUCCCCAUUCCCCUGUGUUGUGGCAAAGGGGAAAGGUUUUGUGAAGAGCACAGUGGUGUUGGAUUCUGUUCAUAAAGAUUCUAGACCUCGGUUCCCUUCCCGUAUCCAAAUUAGAAUGAAAGAUAGUAUUAACAAUUCAUCUUUUGAGGAAGAACCUCUGAGCACUUGUAACUGGCAGUGCUUUGAUAUUCUAGGUAACCUGUUCCAUAAGGAGUGCUGGGUGAUGCUGGCUGAUACUGUCAAUUGUGAGCAUGCUCCACAGAAAGUUUCCCUCUGUGGGAGUGAGGAAACAAAAUGUGGUGAUUCAGUACUGUGGGGUUAUUAUGGGGUUACUAGAGUCUAGGAUUCUAGAGUCUGAGGAUUCUAUGAAUUGAUUAUUGGAGGAUUCUAUGAGGAUGCUAUGAGGAUACCAGCUCCUGUGAUUAUAAGUUCUGUUAUUUCAGAUUCUGUGAUCGUUUCAUGAUUCUAGAUUCCUUGACUCUGUGAUGAUUCUGGGCUUCAGUUGUGUGGUGAUUCUGAUUCCUCACUAAGAGUAUAGAUUCCCAGACUUGUAGCUACGCAAUACGAUGCGUUUCCAUCUCCACUCCUGUGCAUAGUGUGUGGCAUAGUUCUGAGUGCCUGACACAGCCCAAGCAAAAUCAAUUUCUGUAGGUUAUUACUAAAUAAAAAAAUAAAUCAAUAAAUUUCUUGCUUUAGUUUCUGCUCCCUGAUCCAUUUAUUUAUGUUCUCCCUUGCUUCAUAUGUAACUUCCAAACUUGGCAUUUUGCAGAUAAUACCUUUUCCCCCUUUCGUCCUUUGGUGGCCCCUAAUGGUCUCUUCUUUCUCAGUUAGAACAGUUGUCAUGAGCCUAUUCAUAUAGGAAUUUGGGACUGGAGUUCACUCCGUGACUCUUAUCAUAGUUGAUGUCCCUAGUUGCUAUCGUGCAGACUUCACCAAUUUAUAACAGAUGGAUACAGCUACGAUAUACACUCCUAAGAGGGAAGCAGGAAUGUAUAUUUAUUGAUGUAAUGUAGAUAUGCUGUAGUGAUAUGACAGUGACUUAACAAGACUGGAGAUGGCUGGAUACACUUGGUUAUUUUCCACAUAGAGGGCAGGAUUAAACACACACCUACAGGACGCUCUCCUGCUGUGUCAUGAGGAUCAGAGCAGGCCCCGUUGCUGUCUGAACUCUUCAAACCACAGAGGUAAGGAUCCUCAGCACAGCUGGAUCCACUCCUUGUCCCAGACGCGUUCAAGAGUUUGUGUCUAAGGGAUCCUAUGUGCACAAUCAAAGAUAUA
ensembl:lncRNA